AACGAACGCUGGCGGCAGGCUUAACACAUGCAAGUCGAACGGGUGCAGCAAUGCAUCAGUGGCAGACGGGUGAGUAACACGUGGGAGCCUUCCUAGGGGUACGGAACAACUCAGGGAAACUUGAGCUAAUACCGUAUACGUCCGUGAGGAGAAAGAUUUAUCGCCCUUAGACGGGCCCGCGUCGGAUUAGCUAGUCGGUGGGGUAACGGCCUACCAAGGCGACGAUCCGUAGCUGAUCUUAGAGGAUGAUCAGCCACACUGGGACUGAGACACGGCCCAGACUCCUACGGGAGGCAGCAGUGGGGAAUCUUGGACAAUGGGCGCAAGCCUGAUCCAGCCAUGCCGCGUGAGUGAAGAAGGUCUUCGGAUUGUAAAGCUCUUUUGCCAGGGACGAUAAUGACGGUACCUGGAGAAUAAGCCCCGGCAAACUUCGUGCCAGCCGCCGCAGUAA
rnacentral:rRNA from 1 species